rnacentral:tRNA from 1 species
GGAAGUGUGCCUGAAAGUUAAGGGACUCCUUGAUAGGGAGAACCACAGAGGCUCAAACCCUCUCGCUUCC